GUAGUCGGUUGCCACCAUUGUCCUCCAAUACGGUUCUUUUAUGUUUUCUUUAUCUCUUUCCCCUUUGUUAUUUACUCUUCCUUCCUUUAUCCGCUUCCUUCUAUCAAUUCUUUCCUACACCGUCUCUCUCCCUCUGGGUUACUGACGUUGGAGCCGUUGCUGGUGAUCGACGAAUGGUUAAGGAGCAGCACUCAGCGACCAGUCCCAACUUUAUCGUCGGCGUUGAAGGCCACCGGUGUUGGCGAAGGCAGUCCAUCAAAGUGCUCGGCGGACAGAGACUUGGCUUCGGGGUUGUUCUUCUAAGAAUAGUAUUACGUUCAUCAACUUGGGUUCUUCCACCACCGAUUUAUGUUCCUACGUACCGGUCUCACUGAAUUUUUAUAUUAUGACUGACGUUGGAGUUGUUGCUGGUGAUCGACGAGUGCUGAAGGAGCAGCAGUCAGAGACCAGUGGUUUGAUGGUGCGCCGAUGGCGUCACCGAUUUCCUGUUUGCUUAACGGUUCCAUGUUUCGUCCACUGCUUCUCUUAGCAGUUUCCGUUCUUUCUCUGGGAAUCAAUUUAAGGUGUUCGACGGGAUGAGAAAGCAGGAACAACUAUGUGUGUUUAUGGUUAUUAGAGAAAUUUGAAGAAACAGAGGAAGCGCACCAGGUGUUUGAUAAAAUGUUUAUUUGAAAUCUGGGUUUGAAACCAAUAAUUGGUCAGCUUAAGAGAUCCUAUUCGGAAAGGUGCUGAUGAUAAUGACCUGAGACAAAUUAUUGGGGUUGCGGUGAAGAGAAAGAAAUGGUCUCAUGUUGGAAUGUUUGUCAUCACAAAGACACCAAACAGACCAAUAAUACAUAUUGGUGGCAAGUGAAUCUAUUAAGAAGGAGUAUGACCGAAAGUGUGAUCAACUUAGACAUCAAUUGGCAAAGGACCUUAAACCUCAUGUGAUUGAUAAAACUCAAGCUACGGCUAAAGAUUUGCAUUCGCGUAUUUGGGUUGCAUUACAUACGGUUGAUUCUAUAUCAAAACGGAUUGAGAAAAUAAGAGAUGAAGAGUUACAACCGCAAGAACUCAUUCAAGGGUGUAUUCCAUUGCAAUCGGUCUGUCGGCCAUGACAAAAACCCGCAGAAAUGUCACUUAUUGUUGGGCUUCCGCGUCAUAAUAAAAAGGAUGAUUUUCGCCAAGCUGCUCGACAUUCCAUACACCAAACUCCUUCAAAAUUGCUUUCACUUAUCCUGCUGUUAAGUGUUAAGGUAUGAUAAUGAAAGUCCAAGCAUCUAAGUUGCUUUUACUGAUAUGAUGAUUGGUUACUCUUUAUCAAAAAACCCUUGUACAAAAAUAGCUAUCCACAGUUACUGACAAAGAAGCCCUUCAGGGUUCUGGGUUUGCAUUACGGUCUCUGGAUAUGGUUAGAUACACUUCAUUAUCAAAGAAUAAAAUAAAGGAGUCCUUGAGCUACCCCUUCUAUUAUAUUGAAUCUUUUGCUCCAAUCAAGAUUCACACUCUCCGAUGGAUCUAGGGAUGACGAUAGACAAAAAAAAUAUAUCAUGCAGCGGGAAAUAUAAUCAGAACAGAUGAAAAGGAAGAAAAGUUUACCAAAGAGGAAUUUGUCUAGGCUUCGAUUAGGCAUAUACUCAUACAGGAGAAUCUUUUCAUCUUCUUCCACACAACAUCCCAAUAGCCUAACAAGAUUCUUAUGCUGAAGUUUUGCAAUAAUCCUCAACUCAUUCAUAAACUCCUCGCGUCCUUGUGAAGAUCUUGCUGAUAACCUUUUAACCGCCACUUCUCUAUUUCCAG